GCUUUCUAUCUGCGACAACUUCACCCCACUUCGUUAGUGCUCUUUAACGUGGACGGUGCUGGUCCGAUGCGCCUGGGCAACUGUGAUAAGGACACACGCGGAGCACCUUUGUACAAGGAACACCAACGUAUCAACACCAACUUCUACAAAUCCGCAUACGGCUUUUUUUUCCUGACAGUGUACCAGAUGGCGAAGUAUACGUGCGUAAUAGUGACCUGCGAAGCGUAUAGAUACUCC